UCUUCUUACAAAAAUUAUAGGAGUUUGCUUCAGGAAUUUUGGAGUAAAAGUUCAGAUAUCUGGGAAAUUGUUUGGUAAUUGAAUGUCUGGUAAUUUGGUCAGGAAUGUGUAGAACUGAGGAUUCAGGGUCUAUAAAUUUCCAGACAAUAGGAGGUUAAACUCUUGAAUUUGAGAACUUUGGUACUUCUUAAUAAGAACAAACUGCAGAAGUAUACAAAAGUUCAAUGCAGUUGAUGACCUCCUCCUUUGCUAUUAAAAAAGAUGUGUAUCCAUAAUUUGUAAACAGAAGAACAAAAUGUAUAAGUAUACAAAAGUUCAAUGAAGUUGAUGACCUCCUCCUUUGCUAUUAAAAAGAUUUGUAUCCAUAAUCUGUAAACAGGAGAACAAACUGCAUAAGUAUAGAAAAGUUCAAUGCAGUUGAUGACCUCCUCCUUUGCUGUUAGUAAACAUAUAUCUGUAGGAACUUGAAAAAUUUAAGAAUUAAAAAAUUUGCAGAUAUGUAAUCAGUCUCCAUAAUCUGUAAACAGAAGAACUAAAAUUUGAGAACUUUGGUACUUCAAGAUCUACAAAUACUUGGACUAAGAAUUUAGGAAUUUGAAAAAU